rnacentral:rRNA from 1 species
AUUGAACGCUGGCGGCAGGCCUAACACAUGCAAGUCGAGCGAGCGGCGGACGGGUGAGUAAUGUAUGGGAAUCUGCCCGAUGGAGGGGGAUAACUACUGGAAACGGUGGCUAAUACCGCAUACUAUCGGAUGUACCCAUAUGGGAUUAGCUAGUUGGUGGGGUAAAGGCUCACCUAGGCGACGAUCCCUAGCUGGUCUGAGAGGAUGAUCAGCCACACUGGGACUGAGACACGGCCCAGACGCCUACGGGAGGCAGCAGUGGGGAAUAUUGCACAAUGGGCGCAAGCCUGAUGCAGCCAUGCCGCGUGUAUGAAGAAGGCCUUAGGGUGGUAAAGUACUUUCAGCGGGGAGGCGUUACCCGCAGAAGAAGCACCGGCUAACUCCGUGCCAGCAGCCGCGGUAAUAC